UACAGAGGUCUCAAGCGUUGUUCGGAUUUACUGGGCGUAAAGGGCGCGUAGGCGGCGCGGUAAGUCGGGUGUGAAAUCUCGGGGCUUAACUCCGAAACUGCAUUCGAUACUGCCGUGCUUGAGGACUGGAGAGGAGACUGGAAUUUACGGUGUAGCGGUGAAAUGCGUAGAUAUCGUAAGGAAGACCAGUGGCGAAGGCGGGUCUCUGGACAGUUCCUGACGCUGAGGCACGAAGGUCAGGGGAGCAAACGGG
rnacentral:rRNA from 1 species